rnacentral:rRNA from 1 species
GAUGAACGCUGGCGGCGUGCCUAAUACAUGCAAGUCGAGCGAACAGACGAGGAGCUUGCUCCUCUGACGUUAGCGGCGGACGGGUGAGUAACACGUGGAUAACCUACCUAUAAGACUGGGAUAACUUCGGGAAACCGGAGCUAAUACCGGAUAAUAUAUUGAACCGCAUGGUUCAAUAGUGAAAGACGGUUUUGCUGUCACUUAUAGAUGGAUCCGCGCCGCAUUAGCUAGUUGGUACGGUAACGGCUUACCAAGGCGACGAUGCGUAGCCGACCUGAGAGGGUGAUCGGCCACACUGGAACUGAGACACGGUCCAGACUCCUACGGGAGGCAGCAGUAGGGAAUCUUCCGCAAUGGGCGAAAGCCUGACGGAGCAACGCCGCGUGAGUGAUGAAGGUCUUCGGAUCGUAAAACUCUGUUAGUAGGGAAGAACAAAUGUGUAAGUAACUAUGCACGUCUUGACGGUACCUAAUCAGAAAGCCACGGCUAACUACGUG